GUGUAAGAACGCCUCUUUUUUUUGCCCAUUCACAACUCAAAAUGCAAUUAGUGGUUUUAAUAAUAUCCUAUAAAGCUUUACCUACCAAAUCAACCAUCCACCAAUCUGUCUGAUAAGAAUUUGUGGACGUUUUGAAGGAAGCAUGAAACACCUUUACAUUUAGUUGUCAAAAAAAAUCAAAUGAGAAAGACCUGCAAAAAGAGGCGUUCUUACACCCAACAACACUAAUGUUUCCAUUCUAACUACUAAUUUAACAUGUAUAAUAUAUGCACAAAAUACUCUAUUAUAAAGUUGGGAGCACAUACUGAAACAUUUGAAAAGGUUCACAGCCUUGAUGAGAUUAGAACUCCUACACACCUGUCUCAUUUGUUAUGCUUCUUGUUGAUAAACUCGCCUUAGCCUCAUCCCUACAUCAGCUUCUUGAUUGUUUUGAAUCAAACCAGCGCCUACCAAAUUAGAAUUUUGCAAUUCAGAGGUAACCCCUGCCUCACUUUGCCUCUCUUCUAUAACUUCUCCAUAAUUAUGAAGCCUACGACCGAUGAGAUAGCG
rnacentral:misc_RNA from 1 species